rnacentral:rRNA from 1 species
UACGAAGGGGGCUAGCGUUGCUCGGAAUCACUGGGCGUAAAGGGUGCGUAGGCGGGUCUUUAAGCCAGGGGUGAAAUCCUGGAGCUCAACUCCAGAACUGCCUUUGAUACUGAAGAUCUUGAGUUCGGGAGAGGUGAGUGGAACUGCGAGUGUAGAGGUGAAAAUUCGUAGAUAUUCGCAAGAACACCAGUGGCGAAGGCGGCUCACUGGCCCGAUACUGACGCUGAGGCACGAAAGCGUGGGGAGCAAACAGG